UACGUAGGGUGCGAGCGUUGUCCGGAAUUAUUGGGCGUAAAGGGCGCGUAGGCGGUGCGGUAAGUCUGUAGUGAAAUCUCUGGGCUCAACUCAGAGUCUGCUGCAGAAACUGCCGUGCUUGAGUGUGGGAGAGGUGAGUGGAAUUCCCGGUGUAGCGGUGAAAUGCGUAGAUAUCGGGAGGAGCACCUGUGGCGAAAGCGGCUCACUGGACCACAACUGACGCUGAGGCGCGAAAGCUAGGGGAGCAAACAGG
rnacentral:rRNA from 1 species